UAUAAGAUACCAUCUCCUUGGAAUGUUUCUGGUUUCUGUAAGUCGACUGUGUAAACUUCAAGGGCACUGAUGAUGGGAGGCAGGAUUGAAUUUCCGGUCCUCACGAGGGAAUAUUUAAUUUCUUUUCCACUGACGGCUGAAGAUGAAGAGGUAUAUAAAGAGUCGACAGCCAGGUAUCGCGGAGAAAAAUUUGAAAUCCAUAAUUCACCGUUCCUCAUGAUGUUGAAUUGUCUUGUCUGAUUGGUGGUUAACUCUUGAAUCUCUGUGAAGUGCAUGUAAACAUAGAAUUCAUCAGUUUCAUCUUGUGGCUCCCAGCUUAUUACCAACGGAGCACUAUCAUUUGCCGGUCUAACUGCGGUGCUCAUGAUAAUAGCUCUCAGUUGGUAAUCGCCCUUAUCUAAAGAAUCAUCUGGAAUUGAACCACUUAGGUUUGUCCAAUCUUCGAAUGGUUCAAGGAUGUACCACAAACGAUCAUAAACAUCAGUCGGAUACCUGUGAGAAAAUCAGAAUAAAUUCAAUAAUGAAUCAAUCAAUCUUAUAAGGCAACAGAUUUGAGCCAUAAGUAUGAUUUCACCUGUAGAUUAUGUUUGAACCAAAAUCGUUACGCAGGUAAAGUUUCAGCGAUCCAUAUUGAGUGACGUAUGUAUUAUUUUUCAAAGUAAUGAAUUCUAUGGUUGUUAUAAAUGGUGUGCCAUGGCCUGUGUCAACCAGACAGAUUUGUACAUAAUCCAGUGAAGGUACGUGUAUGAUCUCCUCGAAUUCGGGAUUGGAUGCAUUGCUUAUAUUAACUGUAGCCCAUUUGUUAGCUUCCAGAAGAAGAUCAAACUGUGGUGGAAUAUUUUGGCCAUCAUAAUUUCCAUAAAGAAAAAGAGUGCGGAUGAGAUACUUAGAGCCUCUUGUGACGCUUAUUUUGUAGCAGUUCUUGUUUCCUUCCGGGAACCUUCUCAGCCUGCUCAGUUGUUGUUGAGUCUGCCUGCUGAUCUCAGAUGAUAUUGUCCCUCUCACACCAGUAUUUGUGAAAUUUGCAUCCGAAACAUAAUUUAUGUGUAUUGAUGACUCAGUGUUGACACCUGCUUCAGCUCCGCAAUCUAUGCUGAUGAAUCCUAAAACAUAAAAUUGCAUAUAUUACUGUUAAAGUUGCUACAAAAAGAGAGAGUGAAGUCUUUCUUUGCUGGAAGGGAUAAAAGGUCACUAAACCAACAUGAGUUUACUUAAGUAAUGUGCACAUGAUAACCCUAAUGGCCAGAGGAAACAAUUAAGACUGCAAAACGAAAGCUAGAUGGAUUUGUUGUGUGUGUACUAUUCAUUUUCAGAAAAAGGGUACAAAGAUAGAAGAGUCACAACCCACACUCACUAACAGAAUUUAAAACAAGACAAGGAAAACAAAUAGAACCUGGUUGAGCAUAAGCUGGAAUACGUAGAAGAGCUAAAACAGCAACGUAGAAAGUCAUCCACAUUGACUUAGGUUUGGAGGUAAUUACAAACACUUUUUAGCUUUAAUUUCUUUUUCCGUGUUUAACUCUGCAAUCUGCAUCAUACAAAUAAUACUAUUUAAUUCACCCAUCAAUCAACCUAAAUUCAUAUAAAAUCGAUAAAAUAUAUUUUUAUUACUAAAGUUUAAUUUAAUUUUUAAAAAAACAGCUAGCAUAAAAGGCUGAAUAUUAUCCCAACAACUACAAUGAUUGAGCAGCAUGGCUUCGAGGAAUAUAUGAGUUAUACUGACACUGGCUUUUAUAGCUGCAUAGAUUUCGUUUGGCAAUGGGGGGCUAAAGUGGAGGAGGGAUAGGUUCCAAUGGGAAUCAACACAAGAAGAAGAACUUCUAAGGCUUCUAAGACUUCUAGAGCUGUUAAAGGAGAUGAAGGAUAGGCAGGUAUGGGAAGGCAACGAUUCUGGAAAGUUUUCGGUGAAAUCUGCUUAUAAUGGUCCAGCAAAUCAUGUAAGAGGGCCUCAUCAAGAUAUUUUCAGGAAGUUAUGAUAGGUUAAAGCUUUUUUCCAAUGUUUUGACAACCUUGUGGAGGGCCAUGGUGAAUAGUAUUCCAACAAGAGUUAAUUUCUCUAAGAGAGGGGUGGAGUUGCCCGCACUAUUGUGUUUGAUGUGCCAAGUUGUGAAUGAAUCCUCACAACAUCUUUUCGUACAAUGUGAUGUUGCCCAUUAUGUGUGGGAUCGCUAGAUGGAUUGAUGUUUUUGUAUGUUCAGCACGUGGAUUUGAAGUGUCAUUUCGAACAAGUUUGCUUAUCACAAGACACCUAUAAUAAGAAUAUGGUGUCGAAAGGUAUGUGGGUAGCUGUGAUUUGGAGUAUUUGAAAACAACGUAAUCUUAUUAUUUUCACGCAAGGGUUGUGGAUGAGGAAGAAAUUUUUCAUAUGACAACUGAAAUGCUGGCUUUGGCUGAAACAUAGAAUUCGGGCCUUUAAUCUUUCUUUUUCUGAAUGGUUUGAGUCCGAUCCUGUGUAUUAAGAAAUAGAUGUGAAAGGGUAGGUAAAGCAAAGCUGGUUGGGUUAUGGACGCUUGGGUGUGAAAACUCCCUUUGUUUGGAUUGCUUGUGAGGGGAUGAUGAGAUGGAUCUUAGUGCAGCGGUGCGAUAUCACACAGAAGCAGGGAAUGUUUUUUGACUUCUCUGGAGUGCUCUAUUAAAAAGGCUGACUGUGGUGCUUGGUAAUGAGCUGCCAGGUGCGGAUGCAGCAUGUGCAGGGUAAUUUUAUUUUAGCACAGGAACUAAUAACUGAUGCAGAAGUGGUGCAUGGGGUCUCCCCAAGUGGGGUAGAAUUAUGCAGUAGUUAGACGGGGGUUGUUAAUGCUGUAAUCAGUUUUUCUCUUGUUUUGUUCUUGUUCCUACUAGGGAGAUGGGACCUAGAGAACUAUUGAAGUCUUCUUCGUCUUCUUUCGGUCGGGCAGGUGACUGGGUGAUGAGCUGGGGUUCUUCUCGUCCUCCUGCUUAUCCUUCGGCACUCGGGACUCGGUCGUCGGGUGAACACCGGAUGGUGGGGGUACCUGCGAAGGCACUCUGACGCUCAAGUCAGUAAAGCGGGUGGUUAGCUCUCAGGUAGGUGAACAGUAAUAAUGACAUACCUUAUUCCUUGGAAUGCGUGCUAUUUAUAUUAUUCUAAUGGGCCUACCUUGUUGGGCCCGUUUAUCGAGGUGGAUACCGCUUAGGGUUGCAUUACCUAAUUCUUGAUGAUGGAUUAGCUUUACUGAUCUCGGUUUGAGCGUUAAUUGUAAUGAGGUUCGGCCAUCGGCCAAAUUCUCAUGGUGAGGGUAGGCCAUCGGCCAAAUAAAUGUGGUCUUCGACCGUCUCAGUUAAGUCUCCGAAGGUCUCGGCCAUUCGUCUGUCAAUGACACGUUGGGCCGGGACAAGUCAAUAUUAUAUUGAAAAUAUUGCUUCAAAUUAUUAAGUGGAAAUGUGGAAGAAUAAACAUUAAUAGCUAACUAAUAAAACUACUGAAUGAUGACCUGCUCCCUAGAAAAAUCCAAAAAAUUUGACUUAAAUACGAAAGUUCAUUGUCAACAAGUGGAGAAAAAGACAAUUUUCCUGUCCAUAUAAGCCCAUCACAGAUUAAAUGGGAUGGAUUAGCAUUUUAAUUUGUUUGACUAUGGCACUCUUUCGGUCUAUUUUUUAGACAAAAAAAAAUUGACAAAUAAAAUGCCCCAUCUAUUUAGUACUUGUAGGGUAGCGUGGGUUAGUCUAGUCCAAGUAUUACGAGUGGUUGGGAAGGACAGGGGUAGUUCAUCAGAUCUAAAAUUCACAUACUUCAGAAUGAACGAGGAGAGCGAAGAUGUUAACCGAAUCUGAUAUUGCGUGUAGAUAGCAGUUGUAAGCGAAAUAUGGAAAUAAGGUUUUUAAGAAUUGACACAUAGACCAUAUGAAAAUUUUCACAAUGGAAAAAUUACAGGUUUAAUCAUGGAUUAUCUCAAAGGUAUGAUUAAUAUGUUUUUCAUACUCAGAUUGAUGUUUAAAACCAUUGAUUUACAUGAAGUCAAUUAAAAAAUGAAAGGUUAAAAGUGAGAGGUUGGGUUGAGCAAGAUUAUUUCAAGUUAGGAAUGAUGUUUUUUAAGAUGGAUAAGAAUAGAUGUUUGCAUGUUUCGUGUUAUCUAUUUUAAACCUCACAAUAUGUCGUUGUUUUUUUAGAAGGGUUAAGGUAUAUCUAAAAUAUCAUUUUUUAUUAUUAUUUUUUUAUCGAUAAAAAAGAACUGAAUGAUGCCUGAGCUCUCCUGUUUCUGGAAAAAUCCAAAAAAAUUGACUUACAUAAGAAAGUUCCAGGUCAACAAGUAAAGUAAAACACAUUUUUCCGGUCCAUACAAGCCCAUCACUGAUUAAAUGGGAUGGAUUAACUUUUUAAUUUGUUUGACUAUGAAUUAAAUGUAAAUGCUUGAAGAAUCAACAUUAAAACUCCCUAAUUAAAUGUGCAGUAAUAUAAAUCUUCUACACGUUAACGCGUAAACAUGCCGUAAAUUUAACGACGUACACGUAUAUAGCUGGUCACAAUAAACUAAUUAAUUCAAAUUUUACAAACUUUAUAAAUUAUUUCUAUAUUAUAAAUGCAUUAAAUAGAAGAAAAAUGACUAAAGGGUCGUCCUUUAAAAAUAGAAAGAAUAAGGGAAUGGAGGGGUUUGGUGAGAGGUUAAGAGAGAGUUUAGGGUAUUAAAAAAAUUUAGAAAGAGCAAAACAGACAUUUGACAUUUCAUAUGGAGGUGUAGGGAGAAUGAGCCUCUUUUUCAGUGCAUAUAAUCCCAUCAGUUAUUAAAUGGGAUGGGCUAAAAUUUUAACUAAAUAAUUUGUAUUGCUAAAUUUAGAAACUAAAUAAUUGAUAGAUAAAACUUUGGUUGCUAAUUAGAUACCAAUUUAUAAACUAUUUAACAAUAAUAGAAAAUAAUAUAAACUAAUUUAGAAACCAAUUUUUGUUUUAGUUUCUAAAAUGGUGUCUAAUUUAGUUACUAUUACAACUAAUUAUUUUGGUUUCUAAAAAUUGGUUUCUAUUUAAUAUUUUCUUGUAGUGGAUGGUUGAGGUGAAGAAAGAUAUUGAUUUUAAUUUGUUCGACUAGGGCCAGUCUUUCGGUCUUUUUUUCUUUAACAGAAAACAAUUGCCAUGUUUCGUGGUCCAUAUGUAAUAUAUAUUAUAUGAAAAGGGUAAUUUUACUCUUUCUUGAUCGGUCAUAUACCUAUUAGUUCGAUUUGACGGAUAAUCCAACGUCAAAGUCAUAAUUUUUGGAAAUUAUUAUUAUAAAUUCUCACAUAAUUAUAUCAGUGUAAUAAUAUUAAUUUAGAUAAACAUAUUAUAGAAAUUAAUCUUAUUAAUACACAAUUAACGUGAUUUUAUUGUACAAUAUUCUUACCUCUUUAAAUAUUUUAAUUUACUUACUCAAUAUUCCCUAAUAUAUUACAAAAUUAUGCAGCAAGAACUGUAAAAUUCCAUGAUAACAUAUGGCUGGCAGACUGAAAUGUAGAGAAUAGAGAACCAGCGCUGCCCCGGUUGGUAUGAUAAUCAAAUGCUUUUCUCAUGGCAUUGACUCACCCGCAGCCCACUCAUCAACCAACCCAACCACAUCAUUGGAUUUCAGGAAACUUUCGAAGAGCCAAACCAAAAUUCCUGAUAAUGAAUAAAUCAAUUGUAACUGUCUCAAGAACAAAAGGCCUUUGCACUUUAACAAAUCCCCAUUUUCCUUUAGGCGACCCUUAUAUAUUUGUGCAAAAGAUGCUGGAGAACUAACCAUAAAUCAGCCCCAACUACAUCAUGCAAAAGCUGCUACUACACAAGGCAAAGAUGGCAAGAGUUAAGCCUAUGCUAUGCAUAGAAUUGGCGAACACUCUUGUACUGCAUAAAGCCGAAUUCCCGUUUUCAGAGUACAUCAUACCACAACAUUGUCUUAGGCACCCUGAGUUGACAUCAAUAGAACUUGAUCUUUCUAGUUAAACCCUAAACCCUACUAAAUCUUAAAUUAGUUAUAAGUGUAUAUCUCUACGUGUUACAAGACUUUCUCUAAGUUUGAUUCUCAUCAAAAUAUUAUACUUUAUUGUAUCUCAUUAUGAAUUAGUGAAGUAAAAUUCUAAAUUUAAUUGAAAAAAAAGUGUAUAUAUAUAUAUAUAUAUAUAUAUAUAUAUAUAUAUAUAUAUAUAUAUUGGUCCUACUUGGCAAUGACAUCUCAGAAUUGCAGUCUCUAUAAUCUGCAGUUUUUAGGAUAAACUUGUUUGAAAAUAUACUGAUGGAUAAGUUCUGAGUUAGCUUCAUGAAAACACAUAGUACCAAGGCAUGAAUGAGUAAGAAAUUGAGUUCGGAACAAACCAACUUAACUUUAUCCUUCUAAUUUAUUUCCCUUUACACAUAUAUAUCCACAAGGAGAAAAAUAUUAAGCUGGUUGCAAAGACAUCAAAGGAAGAGGUAAGGGAUGCAGUGUAAGAGGGUGAUGGCUCAAAAAUUCCUGAAUUUAACUUCAAUUUCAUCCAAGGAUCUUGGGAAACCAUCAAGGAUGAUAUUCUACAAGCGGUUCAAAGCUUUGAGAGUACAUGAAUAAUCCCAAAAAGUUGUAAGUGGUCCGUUAUUGCUCUUGAACCUAAGAUAAAGGACCCCACGAAUUUGGAUGAGUAUAGACCAAUAUCACUUGUUGGUGCAAUAUAUAAGAUCGUCUCUAAUAGAAUGAAAUGUGCUCUCGCUAGAGUUAUUAAUAUAAGACCAAUCUUAAUUAGCUUUUCCAAGAGAUAAGGGCUUGUUGGAAGCACGUUGUAGCUAAUGAAGUGGUGGAAGAUCUUACGAAGGAAAAGAGGUCAAGACUAAUAAUAAAAGUCCAUUAAAAAGCUUAUGACUCUGUGUUAUGAGAAUUCUUCUACUAUAUGCUUAGUAGACCAGGCUUAUGUGAGAAAUGACUGAUGCUUGGAAUCAUCUUUUGUGUUUGUUUUGGUUAACGGUAGUCCUACCCAAUAAUUCAUUCUUACAAGGGGUCUAAGACAAGGGACCCAAAUCGCUCAUUUUCUCUUUUGGUAGGCCUAGUAAGGAAAAUAGUGAACGAAAAUAAGCUGAAAGGGGUGAAAGUUGGGGAUAGCCAGGUAGAACUUUCAAUGCUCUACUUCCCAGAUGACACUUUGAUGGUUUUGCCAAGCUACAAACCAAAAUGUUAUCAUAAUUAAGACAAUCUUCAGAUGUUUUGAAUUAGCGAUUGGUUUAAAAGUGAAUUUUCAUACGACGAGGAUUGGAGUUGUAGGCGUCCAAAGUCAUCAGCUAGCAGUCUAUGCCAAUAUACUUAACUGUGCUCAAAUGUCAAUCCCAUUCAAACAUUGGCUUAAAAGUUGAGGGAAAUCCUAGAAAAAUAGAGUUUUGGAAGGAGGUUGUGGAAAAAGUAAGGAGGAAACAUCCAAAUGCAAAGGGAAGAAGCUAACUUAUUAUUACUAACUUAUAUAACAUAUUAUUAAUUUUAACUUUACUAACUUAUAUAGCAUAUUUCCGCAUAUAUCAAAAGCUGUAACAAUCCUCUAUGUCUUAAUAUUUUCUCAUUACUUUUCUCGAGUUUAAACAGUAAGUAUUUGUUAAUAAAAAUUUCUAAAGAUAAACUUUAAUAGAAAAAUUAACAAAGCAAUGACAUAAUAAAAAUAGCUAGAGUGAUUAUUGUUGGCAACUCUAGUUUACAAAUCCAUAAUAAUAUUUUAACUUUUAUUACUGCUAUAACCAAUCCAAAACAACACAGACUCGGAAAAGAAAACUGAUUAAAGUAAAGCACCUAAUAACCUUAAUAAUAUUUUUAACUUUUAUUACUGCUAUCACCAAUCCUAAACAACACAGACUCAGAAAAGAAAACUGAUAAUAGUAAAGCACCUAAUAACCUUAUUCUUGUACAAUCAUCACUUUCCCUUGUUACAAGGUUGUUCUAUUAUUCUCAUCAUGAGUAAGCUUUUACCUAGCCAAGGGCAUUAAUUCGGAUUCACUCCACGCUGCAACUGAAUACUUAGGAUCAGCACCAUUAUUAUGCUCUGUUCUAGCUAAUUCAGUCGCUAAAGUCUCCUGUAGUUCAAUCACCACCACACUCAUCAUUGGCCUUUCAUUUGGAUUUCGAGAAACACAAGCCAUUGCUAUUUCUAGGGCUUUCCAUGCGGAGUUAAUGUCAAAAUUUCCUUCUAACCUUGAGUCAACUAUGGCCCUGAUAUCCCCCGUUGGUAUCAUGGAGCUAACUCGUUCACUUAUGUGACCAUUUUCUUCAUUCCUUCCCGUUACUGAUUGAUUUGUGAUUAUUUCCAAAAGAACAACUCCAAAACUAUAAACAUCACUUUUCUGUGUCAAUCGAUUGGAAGAGUGGUAGCUGCAGGAGAAGUCAUGAAACCCAAAUUAGUUACUCUCUGCGGAUUUUGUGAUGAUAACUCAAAUAUUCACGUGGAAAUGACAGAAAGGGCAAUAAUUGAAAUACUUACUGAGGGUCAAGAUAACCAACAGUACCAGCAACAAUAGUUGACACGUGAGAUCCCCCAUCAUCUGGGACAACUUUGGAUAGACCGAAAUCAGAUAAUUUUGCUUGGAAGUGUUCAUCCAACAAGAUGUUUGUAGAUUUUACAUCUCUGUGGAUUAUAGGAGGCUUGCAACCAUUUUGCAGAUAUUCCAACCCUGAUAUUAAAUUUAUAAUUACGGCAAACGUGUUAAGUAGGUAAAAGCGAGUUUACAAAAAUUCAUAAUUUGAAUUUUACUUUCUAACCUUGGGCUGUAUCCACUGCUACACGAAGUCUUUCCUUCCAGCUCAAGAAUGGUGAUUCAUUGUAUUUACCUACAGGAACAAGUUCUGUAACUUUCUAUACAUGUUUGUUUUUGUUCAGUACAAGUUAGUCAUACGACUCAUACAGUUCUCCAAUAUUACAAAUUCUAUAUCAACAGUUUCAGAAAUGAAAUCAAAUUUGGAAAUUGAUUUCAGUAAUUUUUAACAAGAAAAUAAUUUUAUUUGGAACCAACCUGAGAGAUGUUCUCGUAAGUUCCCUUUAGCCAUGUACUCAUAUAUGAGAGCCUUGUUGGUUUCUUCGUUACAGUAACCAAUAAGGGAUGUCAAAUUUUUGUGAUGAACUCUGAUUAAAAGUUUAACCUGAAAAUCAAAAUCACAACCAUGUUAAACCAUAUAGGUUUGGUACCAAAAUCAGAAACCUAGAGUAAACUGAUUAAUAACUUACCUCUGCCUGAAAUUGUUUAUAACCAUGAACUGCUGAUGGGGAAAGCAUUUUCACUGCAACUGGAGUGUUAUUGAUAAAGCCCAGGUAAACUGUUCCAAAGCCUCCUUUACCAAUAAUUCUAUUGAAAUUGUUAGUGAUUUGAAGGACAUCAUUGUAUGAAUACAUUUGACUUUUGCGUGACUGGAGCGAAUCAUCCUUUUCUGUGGAUUGUUGUGAAAUCUUAUUCUGAUGAUUUACUGCCACCGAAUCUGUAAAUUUUUCAAAAAUAUUUUGAAAAUGAAUAGCUUAAAAUUAACUUUAUGGUAAAAUGUUAAUAGAAAAUACGAACUUUCCGUAAUUACUUCAGCAUUACCUUUUGAUUUUUUCCUUUUACAGAUCCACAAUAUUGCAACUGCUAUUAGAAGAAUUAAAACCCCACUAAUUGAUACUAGUAGUAUGGGUGUAACUAUGUUUUUCUUUUUCGUCUCGUUGCAUUCACCAGAUUCACAUAGAUUUGGAUUUUGACCCACACUACCAUGGAAAGAAAUCAUAGAAAAAAUAUGUUUCAAGUCUCAGUAAACGUUACAAAUAAUCCAUAAUUUAAAUACAUACUUCAAUUUAUUUUGCUUGAGCUCAGAAAUUUGUGGAUCAUUUAUAAAUGAAUCUCAAAUGCCUUAAAUAUAAGUAAUUAAUAAUCAUCAGCAUCAUAAGUAACCAUAUUAUGAAUUUGAGACCUUUUUGUUAGAUUCAUACCUUAGUGAGAGAGAACCUUCGUGUGAUUUUUCAAUAAGUGAAGAGGGAAUUGAACCGGAGAGGUCAUUCUUCUCCAAGUUUCUAAAAAAAAUAUCGUUUCUAUUAUCUGAUACAGAGGAAAAUAUAUAGUGUUCCAGUAAAUGAAGUAACUUACAAGAUCUUCAAGUGUUGCAACUGAAUCAGAAAAUCAGGAACUUCACCAGUUAAGUUAUUGUUAGAUAAAUCCCUGGAAAACAAAUAGCUUAGCUAUAGUAAGUAUGUUUAAAUCUUGAUACAUGUGCCGAAAGUCAAAAGAAUAUCUUACAGAUAAGUGCAUGGCAUAAUUAUAAAAAGAUAUAACACACCAGUUUUGUCUGGUCUCGUCUAUUUUUGGAGUGUGUGAAAUAAAAGAAAAACAAAAAAAACUCACAACUUCUCCAACAUGAUGAGAUUUGAGAUUGAAGUGUCUAUGUUUCCUGACAAUCCACUUGAAGAUAAAUUCCUGUUUUGUCAAAGAAUAGUUAUAUUUAUAUACAAUGUCAUAUGAGUUUUAUAAAGCAAAAAUAGAAAUUUGGGCAGGAAGACUUACAAAGUUGUGAUUCUUGGGACCUCAUUGUCGCCAUAAGUACAGUUCAAACCAUCCCACAAGUAGGUUGCAGGGGCGCAUGGAUCACCUUGCCAAUCUCUUUUCACUCCAUAAACUGACUUGAUUCUUGUAAUCGCAUCAACUUUUUUCAAAUAAAAAUUUAAAAAAGAAAAAAAAAUAGUUCAGACCACUUGCAGUUGUGCGUGAACUAAUUAGAGAAAUGGAUUUGAGAUAUAUGAGAAAUUUUAAUCUCUUUCUCCGCAUACCAUCUCCUUGGUACGUACCUGAUUGAUGGGAUUCUAUUAAUCUGUAAGAUUCGAUGGCAUUGAUGAUUGGAGGUAGGGUUGAAUUUUCGGUCCUCUCCAGGGAAAAUUUAAUUUCUUUCCCGCUGAGGCCUGUCGGGCCACCUAUACUGUUGCCGCCCAUGUACAGCGGAGAACAAUUUGCAUACCAUAAUUUUCCGUUCAACAUGACGUUGAAUCUUCUUGUCUGAUUGGUGGUUAACACUUGAACAUCCAUGAAGUGCAUGUAAACAUAGAAUUGAUCAGUUUCGUUUUCUGGCUCCCAGCUUAUUACCAACGGAGCAUUAGCAUUUACAGCUGUAACUGCAGUGCUCAUCACAAUAGCUGGCGGGUGGUAUUCGGACUCGGUGAUUAUAAUCUUAUCAGAGAUCGAAACACUUAAUUUUGUCGAAUCAUUGAUGUCGCUAGCUUCCCAGUAACGAUCAUAACGAUCGUCCUUGUACCUGAGAGAAACCAAAAUUAGUCCUUGUACCUGAGAGAAAAAGUUCAAUCCAAAAGUAGAGUUCACCUGUAGCUUUUGUUUGAACCUAAAUCCCACCGCCUUUGAGUUUCCCACGAUCCAGAUUGAACAUAAAGAUUAUCUGUCAAAGUUCUCAGUUCUAUGGCUGAUAUAAAUGGUGUUCCAAGGCCUGUGUCAACCAGACAGAUUUGUACAUAGUCUUGUGUAGGUACAUGUAUGAUCUCAUUGUAUUGGAAAAUGGAUGCAUUGUGUAUAGUCACUGUAUGCCAGAAGUUAGGUCCCAGAAGAAGACCAAAUUUUGGUGUCUUAUUCAGCCCAUCAUAAUUUCCGUACAAAUAAACAGUCCGGAUAAGAUACUUAGAGUUUAUUGUGAUGUUUAUUUUGUAGCAGUUCCUUCUUCCUUCAGGGAAGCUUCUCACAUUCCACAUCUGUUGCUGAGACAUCCCUUUGAGAUCAGAUGCUAUUGACUUGCUCACACCAGUAGUUAUGAAAUUUGCAUCUGAAAUGUAAUCUAUGCCUGUGGACUCUUCAGUAUAUUUCUCAUCGGCACUAGCUCCGCAGUCUAUGCUGAUGAAACCUAAAACAUAAAAAAAUAUGCUUAUGAACAAUGGGAAUUGAGACUUCAGCUAAAAUUAUGAUAAAAUGAAGUUCAUGUUUUCCAUCAUCAAACCUGCUUGGUUCUGAGCUUGAAUAAGUAAACCACAUAGAGAAGCAAUGAAGAAAGUCACCAACACUCUGUAGGGUGACAGAUAUACGAGCACCAUAUUUUUAAACUUUUACCUGACAAAGAAUUGUGGUUAGCUUACAGAGAAGACGUUUUCUUUUUUUUUAAUUUUUUUUACAGAAAUGAAUGUUUAAUUCUCAAUUGCAUAUUUCAAAAUAAAUUUUCAUACUAACAUUUAAAAUAUUUACAUCUAACCAGAUUUAAAAAGAGUGAUGAUAUAUAUACUGACAAUUAUUAACCAGAUUAUAUAAUUGCAGAGAAAAAUAAUUUUUUAUUAAAAUAAAGAAUUUUAAAAUUAUAUUGAUAAAUUGAUUGUGAAUCUCAAUUUACAAUUUUCUCAUUUAACAAAUCUAACUCAAACAAAGAGUACUUUCAAUUGGCUGAAAUUCAAAAUAACUAAGUCGGGACCCAACUCAAGGUUUUUUUUUAUUUGUUUGUUUAAUUAAGUUUUAAAUACUUUAUAAAUUUAAAUAUAUUUUUGUUGAGUUUUUAUUAACAAUUUUUUUUAUUUUUUAAGUAUCUGCAUUUGUAAAAAUAAAAAUUAUUCUAAGAAUAAUUUUUUUUAAUAUAGACUCAGUUAAAAACACCUAAAUUAUAAGAGGGUUAAAAUUUAAUUAAGUUUAUUUAGUCAAAAUACACCCAACAGGCUCACGCUAUCUAAACCAACUUUAAUUUUUUUUAUCAGUAAAAGAAGUAAAAUAAUAAUAAAGAAUAUCUCAACCCUAAUAUAUCACAUCUUAAAGCAAAUAUACAAGUUUAAUUAAUUACUCUCUUUUUUAAACGAUAAAUAAUUAACUCUUAAGACUCUAAGUAGCUUCUUUUUUUUUUAAUAUUUAUUAUUUUAUCUAAUAAAAUAAUUUAACCUGUAUUCAAAAUUUUAUGAACUACCAUCGUGGUAAAUGUUUAGUUGCAACAACUACCUAUAAAAGUUAUAAUCUUUCUAAUUGGUAAAUGACCAUGUUUAAAAAUUAGUAAUAUAUAUGAUAUAUCUAACUAAUAUAUAUCUAAAUUUACACUUACUAUGCUACUCGUUAAAAAUAUAUAUCUAAGUAAUAUUUUUUUGUCAAGAACAACAAAUAAAUAAAAAUAUAUCCAAAUAACAUAGUAAGUGUAAACUAGAAGAAGUAGAUUAUUGAAUCUUAUUCUCAUGUUUCUUUUAAUCAGUAAUAAAAAAUAUAUUAAAUAAAGAAAAAAAAAUUAAUGAAUCUUAUUUUUUUAUUAAUAACAAAAAAUAUAUUAAAUAAAGACUAGGAUGGCUACUCCAACUCAUAAAAAUUUUUAACAUUUAUUCUUAACAUGUAACUAUUUUUUUGUCUCGAGUUACUGACCGAAGUAGUAUAAUAUGUGAAGCUUAAUAAAUUAUGUUACCUUGGUUAAACUCACACGUACUUUCUGUUUAAUAAGAGUAAUUUGGAGAUUAUGACUAUACCAUAUAAAAGAUAUUAGAAAAGAAACAUAAAAGAGAGGAGACGAACAACAUGCAUGCAUUUAAGAAAGAAAAAAAGCAUAGAAAAAGAAAGCACUGCAGAAACAUAUAUAUCUGAAGUUGUGAAUCAAAAUAGGCCAUAAUAGAAAGACACCGUGUAAUUGCUUGGGAAGGUGUUUCUCUGCAGCUACUGUGAUAUCCCUCCAAGGUAGGUUUUUGGUGGAUGAAUAAUGGAGUUGGAGAGUAUUUAAUAUGGUUAUGAUGAAAACUAUUUGACAUCGCAAGCUUUGUCGUUUACAGUAAAGACAAUGUGGAAUAAUUGCAGUGAUAGAAUUAAGCCCAUCACUGAUUAAAUGGGAUGAAUUAACAUUUUAAUUUGUUUGACUAUGGCACUCUUUCGGUCUAUUUUUAGAAAAAAAAAUUGACAUGUUUAAUUUCCUCGUCCAUACAUAAUAUAUUAUGUGAAAAAUGUAAUAUAAAAAGGAUUUCUUUACUUAAUAACCAUAUUAUAAAUUUAUAUAUAACUAAAAUUGUUUUUACAAAGUUCUAGAAACUAUUUCUCUUUAAUCAGAGUGGGUUGACUUCUCGAAUCUUCUUAACUUUUCGAGUUGGACUCUCGGAUUGGGCUCUCGGAUAACUCCUGCUUCACGUUGGAUCUAAGGCUGGCAAGCUUCCUAAGUGAGCUGGAUCAACUGGAUCUUUUCGGCUUCUCCUCUCGAUCUCCUCUCACGAUUGAGAGUGUGUACCUACAAGGCGCUUCAAUGUCAGAGUCAGAAUCAGUUUGAUAUACAUACCUGAUAUUCUAUUUAUAAUGUUUUCUUACUGGACCUAAAACCUAUUUGAACUUUUCUUUUUUAACUAGUAUCUUUUUAAAUACAAACCUAUUAAUUUGGACCUUAUCAUUAUUGGUUUUGCUACAAUAACUUAUCAUUAUGAGUUUUAUUUAUUUAUAUAUAUUUUCUACAUUUAACCUUUCUAAUCAACUUUCGACUCGAUCUUUCGGUUGGAUUUUUCGGUCAAAGCUUUUGACCUAACAGUAAAAAUUUCUUAUUAUAUCUUUUAUGAAUCAGUGAAGUAAAAUUCUAAUUUAAUUGAAAAAAAGAGUAUAAAAUAUGCAUACAAUUUCGUCUAAAACUUUCUCUAAACUAUGGUUAUGAUAUCCGCCGUUGAUAUCAUGCGGAGUUAUGCUUAACUGACUUGAUGCUUGUAAUCUUAUCAAUUUUUUUUCAAAUGCAAAAGAGGGGAAGAAGUUAGUUAUUAAGUUCAUGUACAAUAGUGAAAACCAAAUAAAUGGAUUUAAAAAAUGAAAAAUAUCAUCUCCUUGGAGUGUUUCAGGUUUCUGUAAGUCUAUUACUCUGUAAAUUUCAAGGGCAGUGAUGAUGGAAUAUAUUUAAUUUCUUUUCCACUGACAAUCUCCGUUAAGUGCAUGUAUACAUAGAAUUCUGCAGUUUCAGCUUAUUACAACGGUGCACUACCAUUUGCUGGUGUAACUGCGGUGCUCAUGGUAAUAGCUCCCGGUUGGUAAUCGCCUUGAUUUAAAGAAUCAUCUAGAAUCAAUUGUUUUUGUCCCAGGGAACCAGAAACGAUCAUAAAUAUGACAGGAAAGCCCAUUGUUAAAGUUUCAUGUUUUUCUGCUAGUGGAGUCCGUCUCGAUCUAGUGACCGAUGGUGUCAAAACACAUCAUAAAUGAUAGACAGUUACGAGAAUAAUUUAUGAGUCAUAUUUAUGUUUCGAAUUAUGAGAUGAUAUCUCUGAGAAAUCAGUUAAAUAUUGAUUAACCGAAAGAUAUUAAACAUAUUCUUCAAAUAUACCAACAUACUCAUAUAUCAAUAUACUUCUCCGUAAAUCAGGGAUCACACUACAAAUCAGUAAACAACUGAUAUUCAGUUCAUCAUAACAAGGAUCCAUGAUUGAACAUUAUAAAUAAACUCUUUCUAGAAAUUUUUAUUAGUUUACAAAUGUAUACUCUUUGCACAAAGUACUUAUUGAAUUGUCGGAUUAUCUUUUUCAAAUCAAUCCCAAACAAGUACUAAUUAAGAAAGGAACGAAGAGACAACCGACAUCUCAGUAAUUGUAAAACAAAUUUCAGUAUUAUCUAAGCCUACUUUAACUAUAUAGGUAGAGUUUUUAUGUUACAGCAGUUAGUGAGUGAGGAUUCUGCAUGUGUAACUCAUAAACAGGAAAUGAAGAAGAAGGAAGAAGGUAGCAGUGCAGUUAUAUGAUCUGAAUUUCUGCUGCUCCAACUUCACCUUAUUACCUUUCCCUGCUCCAUCCAUCAAGAUGUUGACAAUUAUGGAGUGACUAGGUCAGAAAGAGGAAAAAUUGCACCGGGACAAGACAGAAAACAACGAUGACUGUGACUCUGUAUAAUUGUUGUUUCACAUCAGCUGCGGUUCCACCACUGCCUCCAGUCAAUGGUAGAAUGCAUUGACCUAACCUUAUAAUGCACCAAAAUCAUUUAACACUCUAAUUCCAUCCAGCAGAAGUCGAGGUGGAAAAUGAUACUAGUUUCUAUAUUUUUUUUUUAAAAUAAUGUAAAGGAUAAAAUAAAAUUAUUUUGUUCUUAAACUAAAAUUUAUUAAUUGAUAAGCUAAUUUUGUUAAAAAGAAUCAUAUCACUUCUCAAAAAAUUAAUUUGAAUAUAAUUAACUAAUUUCAGUUUUUUUUAAAAGACUUCCAUGUACUCCAACUACUGUAGUCACAGGAGACUCUGAUCAUUCUAAAGUCUUGAAAUUACAUUUUUCUUAAAAAAUAUGAAGUUCAGCUUUAAGAUAGUAUUUUCAAUGUAUCUUGAAAAUAUGAUAAGCAUUAAUUAUUCAUUAUCUCUUUAUGAAGAAACCUAUAUAAAGGAAACUUGUGAAGAAGAAAAAGACAAACAAAUGGAAAAGAGCAACAUAGAGAGUGAGUGAGAGAAUAGAUAUAUCCACCUUAGUCUGAGAUUAGAAAUCUUAGUGAGAUGUUAAAGAGGUUCUUUGUAUUUCUAUUGAUUUUUUUUUGCAAGUGUACCGAAUCAACUGUAAUAUAGUACUCUUUAAAGUUCGAAUGUCGAACCCAUAAGGAACAAUUCUAAUUAAGAUGUUAUGUUAUAAAACUCAAUAAGUAUAGAAAAUAAUGUUAAAAACUUGUUCAUAACCAAAUUAAAGAUUUCACAAGAAGUAACUCAAAGGUUUAGGCUUUGAUUCAACCAAAAACAAAACUAACUUAUCAAAUACAGAGAAAGAUACUUGGGAUUGAAUUAAGUCUAUUUUAGUCAUCUGUAUUUUGGAAUAAUACAAUACAUAAUACUCAAAACUACUUAUUCUUGAUGCUUAAUUUAAAGUCAUUCACCUUGAUUCCUCACAGGUGAAAUUCAUAAGAUAAUUUCUUCAAUACUGAUUCCUCAGAUAUCUAACAAAUCAUCCAGCUUUAUGAACAGAAUUAUGAUGCUAUUAAUAACCUAAAAUCUAUUCCUAGCAUUACAAGUUAUCAAGUAUUUUCGUCUAUUUCAGAUCCUUAAAGGUACUUUCCAGUUAAAUUUAAGAAUCCAAAUUAAGACUCAAUUGAUCAGAUAGAAUCAAGCAAUAAACAUGAAACGAAAAUACCAAGAACAAGUAGAAAAGAGAAUAUUAUAUAUGUUAGAAUGGAUGGCUUUAAACUAGAGGGGGGGGANNNNNNNNNNNNNNNNNNNNNNNNNNNNNNNNNNNNNNNNNNNNNNNNNNNNNNNNNNNNNNNNNNNNNNNNNNNNNNNNNNNNNNNNNNNNNNNNNNNNNNNNNNNNNNNNNNNNNNNNNNNNNNNNNNNNNNNNNNNNNNNNNNNNNNNNNNNNNNNNNNNNNNNNNNNNNNNNNNNNNNNNNNNNNNNNNNNNNNNNNNNNNNNNNNNNNNNNNNNNNNNNNNNNNNNNNNNNNNNNNNNNNNNNNNNNNNNNNNNNNNNNNNNNNNNNNNNNNNNNNNNNNNNNNNNNNNNNNNNNNNNNNNNNNNNNNNNNNNNNNNNNNNNNNNNNNNNNNNNNNNNNNNNNNNNNNNNNNNNNNNNNNNNNNNNNNNNNNNNNNNNNNNNNNNNNNNNNNNNNNNNNNNNNNNNNNNNNNNNNNNNNNNNNNNNNNNNNNNNNNNNNNNNNNNNNNNNNNNNNNNNNNNNNNNNNNNNNNNNNNNNNNNNNNNNNNNNNNNNNNNNNNNNNNNNNNNNNNNNNNNNNNNNNNNNNNNNNNNNNNNNNNNNNNNNNNNNNNNNNNNNNNNNNNNNNNNNNNNNNNNNNNNNNNNNNNNNNNNNNNNNNNNNNNNNNNNNNNNNNNNNNNNNNNNNNNNNNNNNNNNNNNNNNNNNNNNNNNNNNNNNNNNNNNNNNNNNNNNNNNGCAUUUAAAGAUUGGUCAAAGCAUUUAAAGACUGGAGCGUAAGCAGUUAAAUCAUUUAAAGCUCAGUUAAAGAUAAAACAGUUUUUAUGUUAUGGUACCAAAACAAACAAUCAGUUGUUUCUUCGAAUCAAUCGGUUGUUUUGGUUUUAACAACUCAACCAUUUGAAAAACAGUUUUCAAUCUUUUCUAAAAACAUCUAAGUAUAAACAAUCGGUUGUUUCGACAAAACAAUCAGUUGUUUUUAACUUAGUUUGAAAAACAUUUUUCUUUCAAAAAGAUUGAGAAUGCCUAUGCUUUGGAUUCAAUCAAGAGGUGGAUUACAUACACAAUCUACCCCAGAUCCUAACUAAAGCAGCACAGCAACAGCAAGCACAGCCAAGGCUUCAACAUCCUUCAAAGGGUUUGGAUUGUUCAAAGCUUGAACACCACUUGGUUCAACAAUAUAUAUAUAUAUAUAUAUAUCACCAAGAAUACAUUUGAUCAAAGUAAUUUACAUUCAAUCCCAAGUUAGAAAGCACUUAGCCACUCAUGACUGCUCAUUCAAUCUUCACUCUUGAUCUGGAUUGCAUAAGAAGGGCUAAUUUGAGCAAAUUCUUCUCCUAAGAAUAGGGGUUUUCUUCUCUUUCUCUCACUAUGAUGAGGACAUUCAAACCAAAGGGCGUAGUGAGCAGGAACUUGACCAAGCCAUUCCAGACUUAGGCGGACCCAUGACAAGAGGAAGGCUUAAAAAGGCCCAGAUGGAAAUUAUCAACUUAACCACUAGGGCAAAUGAUCCUUCUUGGAAUAUAUUGUAAUUUCGUCUUAUUUUCUUAUAAACAAGAAAAGACCUAUAGAUGAAUUUGUAUUUACACACGGUUGAAGCUCAGAAUGAGAGGAACAAAUAUUUUGACAAUUUUAGAGAGAGUGUUUCUCUGCUAGGGUUUUUCCCUGCAUCUUGCGAUCUUAUCAAGAAUCCACCAAUUCUUGUGGCGAUCAUCCUUAAGCUUAUCAAACUUUGUUUGUGGCGCCUUCCUUUAUCCAGGUUUCUAUUGUUACUGUUUUGAAUUUAUUCCGUUCCGUAACCCUAAAUUCCCAAUUUUACUGUCAUUUCUAUUUGGAUUCACAUCAGUUGGUAUUCAGAGCAAAGGUUUGAGUCAUAAUAUAAUUGUGCAUCCUGUUUUUUUUUCCUUAUUACUGUUCACGACGGUACUGUUCACGUUGUACUAUUCACGUUGUAUUGUUCACGUUGUACUGUUCAUGACGGUACUAUUCACAGCGGUACUGUUCAUCUUUUUUUUUUAAAAAAAAAUAAGAAGAAACGAAAAAAGAAAAGAAAAAAUAAGAAGAAGAAGAGGAAAAUAGAAAUAGAAAAAAAAAAGAACAAGAGGAAAAAAAAAACAUAACACUUAUACAGUGCAUACUUGUUGUUUGUUAAAAGUUUUAAAAGUGUCCUGUCUACAUAUUUUAUUUUCCCUAUAUAUUAUUUUGCUUGCUGUUUUUAAUUGUCUUGAUUGUUUGUUGAUAGUGAAAUUGUUCUUCACUAUUUUGUUCUUUACUAUUUUUUUUAAUUGAUUUUGAUUACUACCUUUGAAAGUGAUUCUGGAUUAUUGAUUGCUUGAUUCUUGUAAGAACCUUAAGUAGAGAAAGAGUGGUAAAAGGCAGUGUGAUCAUUAGAAAAAAAAAACAUUAUUGUGUGAAACAUGAGUGUUGAGUGUAAACACGUGAGAAAGUGGUGUGAGGCCCAAACUUAUUGUUAUUUGUAAUUUGUUUACUUAAGCAUGGCAGGGGAAUCGUCAGAUAGUGGACUUUCUCAAAUACAGAUGCAAGCCUUAACACAACACUUUGAAAGGAUAAUGAAACAACAAAGUGAUGGACUCCAUGAGAGGUUGGAUCAAAUGGAGCAAGCACAACAAGUAAAUUCAGAAAAAAGAGGGGGAGAUAGGAGGAGGAGAAGAGAAAAUGAGGGAGAACAAAGACAACUGAGAUUUGAUGGGAUAAAAUUAAAUAUUAUUCAAAGGGAAGAGUGAUCCUGAUGCUUACUUGGAGUGGGAAAUUAAAGUAGAGCUUGUGUUUGCUUGCAAUGAGUAUAAUGAGGAGCAAAAGAUGAAGUUGGCAGCAACUGAAUUUUCAGAUUAUGCUUUAAUUUGGUGGAAUAAAUACCAAAGGGAAAAAACUAGAUAUGAAGAACCCAUGGUAGAAUUUUGGAUAGAAAUGAAAAGGAUUAUGAGGAAGAGAUAUAUUCCAGCAAGCUACAAUUGGGAUUUGCAACUCAAGCUCCAAAGAAUGACUCAAGGAAAUAAAAGUGUGGAAGAGUAUUUUAAAGAGAUGGAGGUAACCAUGAUUAGAGCUGGAAUGAAUGAAGAAAACGAAGAAAUCAUGGCUAGGUUUUUGAAUGGACUAAACUACGAUAUUAGGGAUGUUGUGGAGCUGCAAGAGUAUGUUGACAUUGAGGACUUGUUACACAAGGCUAACCAAGUAGAACAACAACUCAGGAGGAAAGGAAUCAUAAGGAAGAGUUCUAACAAUAAUAAUAAUUCCAACUAGAAGGAUAAGGUGAUGAAGGAUAAAGGAGUUUCCUCAAGUUCAGCCAUAUCUUCAAGUGGGAAGUCAUCUAAUACAUAUAAUAACUCACCACCUAAAAGGAAGACAAGUGAUGUAAAAUGUUUCAAAUGCUUAGGAAGGGGACACUAUGUUGCAGAAUGUCCAACAAAAAAAACUAUGUACAUGUUAUCAAAUGGAAAAAUAGGCAGUGAACCUUCAAGUGAAGAAGAUAAGGAAGAUGUAGAGGUGGAGUUGGAUGCAUUGGAGGGUGAUUUGUUGAUGAUUCGAAGGCUUAUGGGAAGCAAAAUGCAAGCUUUGGAUCAAACCCAAAGGGAAAAUAUUUUUCAUACUAGAUGUUCCAUUCAAGGGAAAAUAUGUUCACUCAUAGUUGAUGGAGGAAGUUGCACCAAUGUAGCUAGCUCAAGACUAGUUACCAAAUUGAAUUUGGAGACAAAACCGCACCCAAGGCCAUACAAGCUUCAAUGGCUUAGUGAAGAUGGAGAGAUGACAGUGAGUAAGCAAGUGGAGGUGCACCUAUCCAUAGGACAAUAUAAUGACAAUGUCUUGUGUGAUGUGGUUCCAAUGGAUGCAACUCACAUUUUGUUAGGGAGGUCGUGACAGUUUGACACCAAGGCUAUUCAUGAUGGUUUCACCAAUAAAAUCUCUUUCAUGCAGAAUAAUAAGAAGAUAAUUCUCAAACACUUAUCUCCUAGAGAGGUGUGUGACGAUCAAAUCAAAUUGAGAGAAAAGAGAUUCCAAGAGAAAAGAGAGACGAGUGAAACACCUAAAUAGAGCAAGAGUGAAACACUUAAAAAGAGAGAAACAGAAACACAUGAGAGAAAAAUGAGUGGAUUACUGAAAGUGAAGGAAGUGAAGAAGUUGCUACUUUCUAGCAAACCCCUUUACUUACUUUAUUGCAAAAACAACACUUUGGUUGCUGACCAUUCUAAUCAAAUUAAUUUUCUUCCUAGUGUUGAUUCUCUGUUGCAGGAGUUCAAUGAUGUGUUUCCAAGUGAUGUUCCUAGAGGACUCCUGAUAAGUGUCUAAUUUCAGUAAUAUUUCAUAUUAAAAUAUAGGAACUUAUGAGGAUUUAUUGCUAAUUUAUAUAUAAAAUAAUCACUAAUUUAUGAAUUUAUACCUUUUUACAUUUUUAUGAGCUUUAUUUGAAUAAGAAUAUUUUAUUCCCAAAUUUGGUGUUAAUUAGGGAAGAUUGAAGAUUUGAAAUAAAGGAGAAUAAUUUGAGCUAAAAAGAUAAAGUCGGAAGGUCCCAGAAUGGAAAAAGAGGCAAAAAAAGAUUGGGCAUUUUUUAUGUUUUAUCAUUUAGCCCAUUAGCGCGACACAGGAAGCAACCUAACCCUAGAAAACUAGGAUAAAUAGAGGGCUAGAGGCUCAACCCUAGUGUGCCAGAUUGAGAGGAAAACACCAUAGAGUGAAUUGUAACCCAAUUGGGAGAAUGGAAGGUGUUAGAAGUAUGUGUGGCUAAUUCUACCCUUUGGGAUUGGGAGUAAUCUGCUCAAACUCUUAUGUAUAGAGGUGAUAUCUUAUAUAUUAAUAUUCAGUUCUUGAUUGAUUAUUGGUAUUGUUGUUUUAUUUUUAAUUUUUCGUGACAAAUUGAGAAUCUUAAAUCUAACCGGGAGGUAUUUUUAGGGUUUGGGCCUAAACAACAAUACUUAACAUAUUUGAGUGUUAGGAAUAGACUUGAAAUGUUAAUUGUUAUUUAACGUCUGAGUGUGAUUCUAAGUUGUUUUUAUAAAUAUGCGAGGGAUCGAUAUUUAGGAAACAUUCUUAAGGAUUUUAUAUGCGAGAGAUCGGGCAUCAAUUUCAAUCAAAGAACUAAAUAUUAACAUGCUAAUAAAAAUACAUGAGAGUGGGAGAGAUGAAACUUAAUCCCUAUUUUUCCAAUUGAAGCAACUAAUUCUUUGUUUGUUUUCUUAUUGAUCAGUGCCAACACAAUCACUUCUAAACUCAUUUUAUUGUUAUGUUGUUAUAUUUAGCGAAUAUUGUACUUGAUAAUUUACUGUUCCUUGUGGGAUCGAUAUCUGUCCUUAGGGACAAUUAUUACUUCUGACAAUUGAACAUCACAUUGACCUUCUUCUAGGAGCAUCUUUGCCUAAUAGGCCAACUUAUAGAAGCAAACCUCAAGAGAUAAAGGAGAUCCAAACUCAAGUGGAAGAAUUGAUGAACAAAGGAUGGGUACAACAUGAGCCCCUGUGCUGUUCCAGUUAUUUUGGUGCCUAAAAAGGAUGGUUCUUGGAGGAUGUGCACAGAUUAUAGAGCACUAAAUAACAUUACCAUCAAGUAUAAACACCCUAUUCCCAGGUUAGAUGAUUUAUUGGAUGAACUAUACGGUGUUUGUAUAUUCUCAAAAAUUGACUUAAGAAGUGGUUACCAUCAAAUUAGGAUUAGGGAGGGGGAUGAAUGAAAAACUGCCUUCAAAACAAAAUAUGGAUUGUAUGAGUGGCGUGUGAUGCCAUUUGGGCUAACAAAUGCCCCAAGCACUUUUAUGAGAUUAAUGAACCAUGUUUUGAGAGAAUUUUUGGGCAAAUUUGUUGUGGUGUAUUUUGAUGACAUUUUGAUCUAUAGCACUAGUUUGGAAUUACAUGAGGAACAUUUGUGUGUUGUUUUGAAUGUUCUUAGAAAAUAAAAGUUGUGUGCUAAUCUUGAUAAAUGCAGAUUUUGUACUGAACAAAUUAGCUAGAGUGAUUAUUGUUGGCAACUCUAGUUUACAAAUCCAUAAUAAUAUUUUAACUUUUAUUACUGCUAUCACCAAUCCAACAACACAGACUCAGAAAAGAAAACUGAUAAAAGUAAAGCACCUAAUAACCUUAUUCUUGUACAAUCAUCACUUUCCCUUGUUACAAGGUUGUUCUAUUAUUCUCAUCACGAGUAAGCUUUUACCUAGCCAAGGGCAUUAAUUCGGAUUCACUCCACGCUGCAACUGAAUACCAAGGAUCAGCACCAUUAUUAUGCUCUGUUCUAGCUAAUUCAGUCGCUAAAGUCUCCUGUAGUUCAAUCACCACCACACUCAUCAUUGGCCUUUCAUUGGGAUUUGGAGAAACACAAGUCAUUGCUAUUUCUAGGGCUUUCCAUGCGGAGUUAAUGUCAAAAUUUCCUUCUAACCUUGAGUCAACUAUGGCCCUGAUAUCCCCCGUUGGUAUCAUGGAACUAACUCGUUCACUUAUGUGACCAUUUUCUUCAUUCCUUCCUGUUACCGAUUGAUUUGUGAUUAUUUCCAAAAGAACAACUCCAAAACUACAAACAUCACUUUUCUGUGUCAAUCGAUUGGAAGAGUGGUAGCUGCAGGAGAAGUCAUGAAACCCAAAUUAUUUACUCUCUGCGGAUUUUGUGAUGAUAACUCAAAUAUUCACGUGGAAAUUCUCACUAUAUUUUCCUAGAAAAAUGAAGGAAAGGGCAAUAAUUAAAGUACUUACUGAGGGUCCAGAUAACCAAAAUUACCAGCAACAAUAGUUGACACAUGAGAUCUCCCAUCAUCUGGGACAACUUUGGAUAGACCGAAAUCAGAUAAUUUUGCUUGGAAGUGUUCAUCCAACAAGAUGUUUGAAGAUUUUACAUCUCUGUGGAAUAUAGGAGGCUUGCAACCAUUUUGCAGAUAUUCCAACCCUGAUAUUAGAUUUACAAUUUCGGCAAAAGUGUUAAGUAUGUAAAAGGGGUUUUUUUUUUACUAUCAUGGAAUUAUUUUAUUUUUUACCAAAAUGGGAUCCGUUUAAAAAAAAUUACAAAUUUAGACAAGUCGUGCCAAUUCGGCACGACUUCAUAUGCAGAAGUCGUCCCAAUUAGGCACGACUUCUGCCAUGUCACACUAAAGUCGUGCCAACUUGGCACGACUUCUACCCUGUAAUACUGAAGUCGUGCCAACUUGGCACGACUUCUGCCACGUCAUAAUUUUUUUAGUAAGUUAUGUAAUGUUAAAAAUUAAUUUGAUACAUAAUUUUCUAAGAGUGUUAGUUUUAAGGAACAAAAAAUUGGAUAAUUGUGUAUGGAUCAUGUUUGACGGUAAUGUAAUACAAUAACUUGAUUAUUUGAUUGUAUUUGGAAAAUAAAUAGAAAAUUAUUGUUGUGAAUUUGCAAAAUAAAUAGCUUGAGAAGUAAUGAUUUUACAUAACAUGUAAUGAUGAGAAGAGAUUAAUUAGAACUAAAAAAAUUAGUAAGAUUCAUUAUAAGAUAUAAAAUAAAACUAUAAAGUUGAACUAGAAGUAAAUUAUUUAUUUAUUCAUUCAAUUCAAACAUGAUCCAUACACAAUUAUCCAAUUUUUUGUUCCUUAAAACUAACACUCUUAGAAAAUUAUGUAUCAAAUUAAUUUUUAACAUUACAUAACUUACUACCCAAUAUAUAAACAAUAACAUUACAAAAAAUAAAAAAAAUUAUGACGUGGCAGAAGUCGUGCCAAGUUGGUACGACUUCAAUAUGACAGGGCAGAAGUCGUGCCAAGUUGGCACGACUUCAGUAUGACACGGCAGAAUAUGACAUGGCAGAAAUCGUGCCUAAUUGGGACGACUUCUGUAUAUGAAGUCGUGCCGAAUUGACACGACUUGCCUAAAUUUAUAAUUUUUUUUAAACAGACUCCAUUUUGGUAAAAAUAAAAAAAAAUAACUCCAUCGUGAUAAAAAAAACUGUAAAAGGGAGUUAGCAAAAAUUCAUAAUUUUAAUUUUACUUUCUAACCUUGGGCUGCAUCCACUGCUACACGAAGUCUUUCCUUCCAGCUCAAGAAUGGUGAUUCAUUGUAUUUACCUACAGGAACAAGUUCUGUAACUUUCUAUAUAUGUUUGUUUUUGUUCAAUACAAGUUAGUCAUACGACUGAUACAGUUCUCCAACAUUACAAAUUCCAUAUAAAGAGUUUCAGAAAUGAAAUCAAACUUGGAAAUUGAUUUCAGACAUUUUUAACAAGAAAAUAAUUUUAUUUGAAACCAACCUGAGAGAUGUUCUCGUAAGUUCCCCUUAGCCAUGUACUCUCAUAUAUGAGACCCUUGUUGGUUCCUCCGUUACAGUAACCAAUAAGGGAUGUCAAAUUUUUGUGAUGAACUCUGAUUAGAACUUUAACCUGGAAAUCAAAAUCACAACCAUGUUAAACCAUAUAGAUUUGGUACCAAGCUGAGAAACCUAGAGUAAAUUUAUUAAUAACUUACCUCUGCCUGAAAUUGCUGAUAACCAUGAACUGCUAAUGGGGAAAGCAUUUUCACUGCAACUGGAGUGUCAUCGAUAAAGCCCAGGUAAACUGUUCCAAAUCCUCCUUUACCAAUAAUUCUAUUGAAAUUGUUAGUGAUUUGAAGGACAUCAUUGUAUGAAUACAUUUGACUUUUGCAUUGCAGGAGCGAAUCAUCCUUUUCUGUGGAUUGCUGUGAAAUCUUAUUCUGAUGAUUUACUGUCACCGAAUCUGUAAAUUUUUCAAAAAUAUUUUGAAAAUGAAUAGCUUAAAAAUAACUUUAUGGUAAAAUGUUAAUAGAAAAUACGAACUUGCCGUAAUUACUUCAGCAUUACCUUUUGAUUUUUUCCUUUUAAAGAAGAUCCACAGUAUUGCAACGGCUAUUAGAAGAAUUAAAACCCCACUAAUUGAUGCUACUAUGGGUGUAACAGUGUUUUUCUUUUUCGUCUCGUUGCAUUGACCAGAUUCACAUAGAUAUGGAUUUUGACCCACACUAGCAUGGAAAUCACAGAAAAAAUAUGUUUCAAGUCUCAGUAAAUCUUACAAAUAAUCCAUAAUUUAAAUACAUGCUUCAAUUUCUUUUGCUUGUGCUGAGAAAUUUGCUCAUCAUAUAUAAAUGAAUCUCUAACACUGCCUUAAGUAUAAUUAAUUAAUUAAUCACCAUCCGCAUAAAUAACCAUAUUAUGAAUUUGAGACAUUUUAGUUAGAUUCAUACCUUAGCGAGAGAGAACCUUCCUCAGAUCUUUCAACAAGUGCAGAGGGAAUUGAACCGGAGAGGUCAUUCUUCUCCAAGUUUCUAAAAAAAAAUAUCGUUUUCUAUUAUCUGAUACAGAGGAUAACAUAUAUAGUGUUCCAGUAAAUGAAGUAACUUACAAGAUCUUCAAGCGUUGCAAAUGAAUCAGAAAAUCAGGAACUUCACCAGUUAAGUUAUUGUUAGAUAAAUCCCUGGAAAACAAAUAGCUUGGCUAUACUAAGUAUGUUUAAAUCUUGACACAUGUGUCGAAAGUCAAAAGAAUAUCUUACAGAUAAUUGCAUGGUAUAAUUAUAAAAAAAUUUAACACAAGAGUUUUAUCUGGUGUCGUCUAUUUUUGGAGUGGGUGAAAUAAAAGAAAAACAAAAAACUCACAACUUCUCCAACAUGCUGAGAUUUGAGAUUGUAGGGUCUACGUUUCCUGACAAUCCACUUGAAGAUAAAUUCCUGUUUUGCUCAAUCAAUAGUGAUAUUUAUAUACAAUAUCAUCUGAGUUUUAUAAAGCAAUAAUUGAAAUUUGGGCAGCAAGACUUACAGAGUUGUGAUUCUUGGAGACUCAAUUCCGUGAUAAGAACAAUUGAGACCAUCCCACAAGUAGGCUGCAGGGGCGCAUGGAUCACCUUCCCAAUCUCUUUUCACUCCAUAAACUGACUUCAUGCUUGUAAUCGCAUCAACUUUUUUUCAAAUGCAAAUUUAAAAAAGAAAAAAAAUAGUUUAGAGCACUUGCAGUUGUGUGUGAACUAGUUAGAGAAAUGGAUUUGAGAUAUAUGAUAAAUUUUAUUAAUCAGGUACCAUCUCCUUGGUACGUAUCUGAUUGCUGGAAUUCUAUUAAUCUGUAAAUUUCAAUGGCAUUGAUGAUGGGAGGUAGGUUUGAAUUUUCGGUCCUCUCCAGGGAAAUUUUAAUUUCUUUCCCGCUGAUGAUGAUGGUUGACGGGCUGUUAGAAUAAUGUGUUUAACAUCAGUUAGCUUUUUCUGUUAUUGAAUAAGUCUCUAUAUUUUUAGGGAUUUAAUUAUUCUGUUUUAACCACUGGUUGGUUUGUUACCAGAUUUAUUUCAUGUUUUUUAGAACAACUUUGUUCAUUCUCGUACAACUUUGUUCAUUCUUGUACAAAUACAUAGCUUUCCAGCUUUAAUAUAUCAUCUCAGUUGAUCAAUCAAAUAUUUGUUUUGUUUUAAGACUAACAAAUUGGUAUUAGAGCACUCUUCUUAAGGGAUCUGUGAGGUCAAAAUGGAAGGAGAAUCAAGUUUUUCAGCUGUUGCACCACCAGUCUUCGAUGGAGAAAAUUAUCAAAUGUGGACAAUUCGUAUGGAGACUUAUCUGGAGGCUUUGGAUCUUUGGGAAGCAGUAGAAGAGGAUUACGAAGUUCCUCCACUUCCAGCAAAUCCUACUGUUGCACAAAUCAAAGCACAGAAGGAGAAAAAAACCAGAAAAUCAAAGGCAAAAGCUUGCCUAUUUGCAGUUGUAUCUCAAAUGAUCUUCACACGAAUAAUGUCCCUCAAAACAGCAAAGGAAAUUUGGGAUUACCUCAAGGGUGAAUUUGCAGGAGAUGAGAGGAUUCGUGGAAUGAAAGUCCUGAAUAUAAUUCGGGAUUUCGAGUUGCAAAAGAUGAAGGAGUCCGAGUCAGUGAAGGAGUACUUGGUUAUGUGUUUAUUGACUCUAGGAUUGUUGAAAAGCUGCUGGUCACUGUUCCCGAGAAGUUUGAAGCCACCAUUACUACUCUGGAGAACACCAAAGACCUGUCAAAAAUCUCUCUUACAGAACUCUUGAAUGCUUUACAAGCACAAGAGCAAAGAAGGUCUAUGAGGCAAGAAGGGGUGAUUGAAGGAGCUUUACCUGUCAAGCAUUAAGACAACAACAGGUACAAAAAGAAGAAAAACUUCAAAAAGGAAGGAGGUUCCAAAAAAUCCUACCCACCUUGCCGCCACUGUGAGAAGAAAGGUCAUCCACCAUACAAGUGUUGGAGAAGACUCGAUGCCAAAUGCUCCAAAUGCAAUCAACUUGGACAUGAAGCUGUGAUCUGCAAAGUCAAAGGUCAAGUGCAAGAAGUAGAUGCACAGGUUGCUGGUCAAGAAGAAGAUCAAUUGUUCGUGGUCACUUGUUUCUCAAGUACAGAAUCAAGCUGGUUGAUUGACAGUGGGUGCACAAAUCAUAUGACAUAUGACAAGGAGCUUUUCGAAGAAUUAAAAAACACAAAAGUUUAAGAGAGUGGGAAUUGGAAAUGGUGAACUCUUGGAAGUCAAGGGAAAAGGCACAGUAGCUAUAGCAAGCUAUGAAGGUACNNNNNNNNNNNNNNNNNNNNNNNNNNNNNNNNNNNNNNNNNNNNNNNNNNNNNNNNNNNNNNNNNNNNNNNNNNNNNNNNNNNNNNNNNNNNNNNNNNNNNNNNNNNNNNNNNNNNNNNNNNNNNNNNNNNNNNNNNNNNNNNNNNNNNNNNNNNNNNNNNNNNNNNNNNNNNNNNNNNNNNNNNNNNNNNNNNNNNNNNNNNNNNNNNNNNNNNNNNNNNNNNNNNNNNNNNNNNNNNNNNNNNNNNNNNNNNNNNNNNNNNNNNNNNNNNNNNNNNNNNNNNNNNNNNNNNNNNNNNNNNNNNNNNNNNNNNNNNNNNNNNNNNNNNNNNNNNNNNNNNNNNNNNNNNNNNNNNNNNNNNNNNNNNNNNNNNNNNNNNNNNNNNNNNNNNNNNNNNNNNNNNNNNNNNNNNNNNNNNNNNNNNNNNNNNNNNNNNNNNNNNNNNNNNNNNNNNNNNNNNNNNNNNNNNNNNNNNNNNNNNNNNNNNNNNNNNNNNNNNNNNNNNNNNNNNNNNNNNNNNNNNNNNNNNNNNNNNNNNNNNNNNNNNNNNNNNNNNNNNNNNNNNNNNNNNNNNNNNNNNNNNNNNNNNNNNNNNNNNNNNNNNNNNNNNNNNNNNNNNNNNNNNNNNNNNNNNNNNNNNNNNNNNNNNNNNNNNNNNNNNNNNNNNNNNNNNNNNNNNNNNNNNNNNNNNNNNNNNNNNNNNNNNNNNNNNNNNNNNNNNNNNNNNNNNNNNNNNNNNNNNNNNNNNNNNNNNNNNNNNNNNNNNNNNNNNNNNNNNNNNNNNNNNNNNNNNNNNNNNNNNNNNNNNNNNNNNNNNNNNNNNNNNNNNNNNNNNNNNNNNNNNNNNNNNNNNNNNNNNNNNNNNNNNNNNNNNNNNNNNNNNNNNNNNNNNNNNNNNNNNNNNNNNNNNNNNNNNNNNNNNNNNNNNNNNNNNNNNNNNNNNNNNNNNNNNNNNNNNNNNNNNNNNNUAAAAAAGCAGAAGCAGGCAUCUUUGUUGGAUAUAGCACUGUAUCCAAAGCUUACAAAAUUUUUCAGCCACAAACUGGUCGUGUGAUUGUAAGCAAAGAUGUUCAUUUUGUUGAAAAUGAGCAAUGGGAUUGGGAAAGUUCAACUAAGGUGAAUCAAAGUCCAAAUGCUCCAAACAGUUCAACCCUUGGGAGCAUGACUGAAGAAUCUGAAGAUGAUGCUGCAGUUGAUGAUGCAGUUCAAACUGUUGUCUGAUAUCUAUCAAAGGUGCAAUGUAGCUGUUUGUGAGCCUGCAGGAUUUCAUGAUGCAAAAAUCAGUCAACACUGGAUGGCUGCAAUGCAGGAGGAGCUUUCUAUGAUUGAGAAAAAUAAAACCUGGGAGUUGGUUGAUCGACCUCCAAACAGAAAAAUAAUUGGAGUAAGAUGGGUUUUCAGAACCAAGCUAAGUCCUGAUGGUUCUAUCAACAAAUUCAAAGCAAGACUUGUUGUGAAAGGAUAUGCACAAGUUUGUGGUGUUGAUUAUUCAGAGACAUUUGCACCUGUUGCCCGGCUUGACACUAUAAGAUUGUUGCUUGCUCUUGCUGCUCAAAGGAGCUGGAAAGUAUACCAUUUGGAUGUUAAAUCUGCAUUCUUAAAUGGAGAUUUACAAGAAGAAAUUUUUGUUGAACAACCUGAAGGCUUUGUGAAUGAGGGCAAUGAAAAUAAAGUAUACUUUCUGAAAAAGGCUUUAUAUGGAUUAAAGNNNNNNNNNNNNNNNNNNNNNNNNNNNNNNNNNNNNNNNNNNNNNNNNNNNNNNNNNNNNNNNNNNNNNNNNNNNNNNNNNNNNNNNNNNNNNNNNNNNNACAUUGUAUGUCAAACAUCAAGGUACAAAUAUUUUGGUCAUUUCUCUUUAUGUGGAUGACAUGUUAGUUACAGGAAGCAAUGUUGAAGAAAUCAACUGGUUCAAACUGGAAAUGAAAAAGGUCUUCGAAAUGACAGAUCUUGGUCUUAUGUCAUACUUUCUUGGCAUUGAGAUCAAACAGAAUCAAGAUGAAGUUUUCUUAAGUCAAAGAAAAUAUGCAAAGGAGAUACUCAAGAAAUUUCUUAUGGAAAAUUGCAAAACUGUGAACACUCCCAUGAAUCAAAAGGAGAAGCUAAUCAAAGAUGAUGGUUCUGACAAGGUUAAUGAAUCUGAGUUUAGAAGUUUGAUAGGUUGUCUGAUCUACUUAACAGCAACCAGACCUGACAUUCUAAAUGUUGUGAGUAUUCUUUCAAGGUUCAUGCAUUGUCCAAACGAAACACAUAUGAUAGCUGCAAGAAGAGUUAUCAGAUACAUCAAAGGAACUUGGAAUUUUGGUGUGAAGUUUCUGAAGCAAAAAGAAAUGGAGCUGAUUGGUUUCUCGUACAACUUUGUUCAUUCUUGUACAAAUACAUAGCUUUCCAGCUUUAAUAUAUCAUCUCAGUUCAUCAAUCAAAUAUUUGUUUUGUUUUAAGACUAACACGGGCCACCUAUAGUGUUGACACCCAUGUACUGCGGAGAACAAUUUGCAUACCAUGAUUGACCGUUCAUCAUGACGUUGAAUUGUCUUGUCUGAUUGGUGGUUAACACUUGAAUCUCCAUGAAGUGCAUGUAAACAUAGAAUUUAUCAGUUUCAUGUUCUGGCUUCCAGCUUAAUAUUACCAACGGAGCACUAGCAUUUACAGGUGUAACUGCAGUGCUCAUCACAAUAGCUCGCGGAUGGUAUUCGGACUCGGGUAAUAUAAGCUUAUCAGAAAUCGAAAGACUUAAUUGUGUCGAAUCAUUGAUGUCGCUAUCUUCCCAGUAACGAUCAGAAAACAAAAUUAGUCCUUGUACCUGAGAGAAAAAGUUUAAUCCAAAAGUAGAGUUUACCUGUACCCGAAGUUUGAACCUAAAUCCCACCGCCAGUGAGUUUCCAACGAUCCAGAUUGAAUGACAUAAAGAUUAUCUGUCAAAGUUCUCAAUUCUAUGGCUGAUAUAAAUGGUGUUCCAUGGCCUGUGUCAACCAGACAGAUUUGUACAUAAUCUUGUGAGGUACAUGUAUGAUCUCAUUGUAUUGGACCUUGGAUGCACUGUAUAUAGUCGUCACUGUAUUCCAGAAGUGAGCUCCCAGAAGAAGAUCAAAUUGUGGUGUCUUAUUCAGCCCAUCAUAAUUUCCAGACAAAUAAAGAGUCCGGAUAAGAUACGUAGAGUUUCUUGUGAUGUUUAUUUUGUAGCAGUUUCUUCUUCCUUCAGGGAAGCUUCUCACAGUCCACAUUGGUCGAGGAGACAUUCCUUUGAGAUCAGAUGCUAUUGACUUACACACACCACCAGUUAUGAAAUUUGCAUCUGAAAUGUAAUCUAUGCCUGUGGACUCUUCAGUAUAUUUCUCAUCGGCACUAGCUCUGCAGUCUAUGCUGAUGAAAUCUAAAACAUAAAAAUAUGCUUAUCAACAAUGGGAAUUGAGACUUCAGCUAAAAUUAUGAUAUAAUGAAGUUCAUGUUUUCCUUCAUCAAACCUGUUUGGUUCUGAGCUUGAAUAAGUAAAGCACAUAGAAAAGCAAUGAAGAAAGUCACCAACACUCUGUAGGAUGACAGAUAUACGAGCACCAUAUUUUUAAACUUUUACCUGACAAAGAAUUGGGGUUAGCUCACAAAGAAGGCGUUUUAUUUUUUUAUAUUUUUUUUACAGAAAUGAAUGUUUAAUUCUCAAUUGCAUAUUUCAAAAUAAAUUUUCAUACUACCAUUUAAAAUAUAUACAAGUUAUGAACAAUUUGAACUUCUCUUGCAUACCAAAGUGCAGGAAAGAAGCAUGGUAACUAAAGAGAUUGUAAUGAACCACGUAUUUUUUUUUUAUCAGAAAAAAAUAAAUUAAUCAUUAUGUAGACACUUAAGGAUGUCUCUAAACCUUAUAAAAAAGUAUUGGUGAUAUAUUCACAACAAUACACCACAUUAUAAAUGGUAGUGAGAAAUAAUUUUUUAUUAAAAUAAAAAAUUUAAAAAUUAUAUUUUAAUUUACAAUUUUGAAAAUAACAUUUUUCAUUAACAAAUCUAACUCAAACAAAGAGUAUUUUAAUUGGGUUGAAGUUCAAAAUAACUAAGUUGGGACCCAACUCAACCUGGGUUUUUUUAAUGUUUUUUAAUUAAGUUUUAAAUAUUUUAUAAAUUCAAAUAUAUUUUUGUUCAGUUUUUAUUAACAAUUUUUUUUAAGUAUCUGCAUUUGUAAAAAUAAAAAUUAUUUUAAGAACAUUUUUUAAUAUAACUCAAAUCUAAGUAUCUGCAUUCAUUUAACAAAUCUAACUCAAACAAAGAGUACUUUCAAUUGGUUGAAAUUCAAAAAUAACUAAGUUGGGACCCAACUCAAGGUAUUUUUUUAAUGAUUGUUUAAUUAAGUUUUAAAUACUUUAUAAAUUUAAAUAUAUUUUUGUUGAGUUUUUAUUAACAAUUUUUUUAUUUUUUUAAGUAUCUGCAUUUGUAAAAAUAAAAUUUAUUCUAAGAAUAAUUUUUUUAAUAUAGACUCAGUUAAAAACACCUAAAUUAUAAGAUGGUUAAAAUUUAAUUAAGUUAAUACACUCAACAGGCUCACGCUAUCUAACCAAGUUUAAUUUUUUUAUCAGUAAAAAAAUAAAAUAAUAAUAUGGAGUAUUUUAGAAUAUCUCAACCCUAAUAUAUCACAUCUUAAAGCAAAUACAAGUUUAAUUAAUUACUCUCUUUUUUAAACGAUAAAUAAUCAACUCUUAAGACUCUAAGUAGCUUAAAUUUAUUUUUAUAAUAUUUAUUAUUUUAUCUAAUAAAAUAAUUUAACCUGUAUUCAAAAUUUUAUGAACUACCAUCGUGGUAAAUGUUUAGUUGCAACAACUACUUAUAAAAGUUAUAAUCUUUCUAAUUGGUAAAUGACCAUGUUUAAAAAUUAGUAAUAUAUAUCUAAGUUUACACUUACUAUGCUACUCGUUAAAAAUAUAUAUCUAAGUAAUAUUUUUUUGUGAAGAACAACAAAUAAAUAAAAAUAUGUCCAAAUAACAUAGUAAGUGUAAACUAGAAGAAGUAGAUUAGUGAAUCUUAUUCUCAUGUUUUUUUUAAUGAGUAAUAAACAAUAUAUUAAAUAAAGAAAAUAAAUAAAGUAAUGAAGACUAGCAUGGCUACUCCAACUCAUAAAUUUUUUUAAUAUUUAUUCUCAACAUGUAACUUUUUUUUUGUCUCAAGUUACUGACAGAAGUAGUUAAUAUAUGUGAAGCUUAGGUGAUAAAUUAAGUUAGCUUGGUCAAAAUCACACGUACUUUUGAGUUUAGUAAGUAAUUUGAAGAUUAUGACUACUGCAUUUAAGACAUGUAUGCAUAAAAGAGAGGAGACGAACAACAUGUAUGCAUUUAAGAAAAAGAAGUUGUGAAUGAAAAUAAGGCAUAAUAGAAAGACACCGUGUAAUUGCUUGGGAAGGUGUUUCUCUGCAGCUACUGUGAUAUCCCUGCAAGGUAUGUUUUUGGUGGAUGAAUAAUGGAGUUGGAGAGUAUUUAAUAUGGUUAUCAUGAAAACUAUUUGACUAUGACCAUUUUCUAGUAUGUCUCAAAUACAAAUAAAAUAACUGGGAAUUUUACUCCCUCGUGGACCAUGGACAAGUCAAUAUUAUAUUAAGAAUAUUUCUUCAAAUUAUUAAGUGGAAAUGCUUGAAGAAUACACAUUAAUAUUCACUCAUUAAUAAAACUACUGAAUGGUGCCCUGCUCCCUAGAAAAAUCCUAAAAAAUUGACUUAAUAAAUUAAUACGAAAGUUCAUUGUCAAAAAGUGGAGAAAAAGACAAUUUUCCUGUCCAUAUAAGCCCAUCACUGAUUGAAUGGGAUGGAUUAACAUUUUAAUUUGUUUGACUAAGGCACUCUUUCGGUCUAUUUUUUAGACAAAAAAAAUUGACAUGUUUAAUUUCCUCGUCCAUAUGUAAUAUAUUAUGUGAAAAAUGUAAUAUAAAAAGGAUUUCUUUACUAUAAUAACCAUAUUAUAAAUUUAUAUAUAUAAUUAGAAGUGUUUUUACAAAGAGUCUAGAAAAUAUUUCUCUUUUAAGCAAAAUGCGUUAACUUCUCGGAUCUUCUUAACUUUUUGAGUUGGACUCUCGGAUAACUCCGACUUCAAGUUGGACCUAAGGUUGGCAAGCUUCCUAAGUUGAGCUGGAUCAACUGGAUCUUUUCGGCUUCUCCUCUCGAUCUCCUCUCACGGUUGGAAGUGUGUACACUUGCAAGACGCUUCGAUGCUAGAGUCAGAAUCAGUUCGACUAUACAUACCUCUUAAAUUGAUGUCCUAUUUAUAGUGUUUUCUUACUGGGUCCAAAAUCUAUUUAGACUUUUCUUUUUGUACCUAAUAUCUUUUUAAAUACACAUCUAUUAAUUUAAAGCUUAUCAUUAUGGACUUCCCUGCAAUAACUUAUCAUUAUGACUUUAUUUAUUAAUAUAUAUUUUCUACAUUUAACUUUUCGACUCGAUCUUUCGAUUUGACUUUUCGGUCAAACAUUUUGGUUUUAGCCUAACAGUAAAAAAAAAUUUAUUACUCGUAUUUUAUACUAAAAUAAACUUCCCUACUAAAUAUUAUAAGUGUAUAUCUCUACUUGUUACAAAACUUUAUGUAAGUUUGGUUCUCAUCAAAAUAUUAUACUUUGUAUUUCUUAUUAUAUCUCAUUAUGAAUUAGUGAAGUAAAAUUCUAAAUUUAAUUGAAAAAAAAGUAUAAAAUAUGCAUACAAUUUCAUCUAAAACUUUCUCUAAACUAUGGUUCUGAUAUCCGCCGUUGAUAUGGUGCGGAGUUAUGCUUAACUGACUUGAUAUUUGUAAUCUUAUCAACUUUUUUUCGAAUGCAAAAGAGGGGAAGAAGUUAGUUAUUAAGUUCAUCUACAAUAGUGAAAACCAAAUAAAUGGAUUUAAAAAAUGAAAAAUACCAUCUCCUUGGAGUGUUUCAGGUUCUGUAAGUCUAUUACUCUGUAAAUUUCAAGGGCACUGAUGAUGGAAUUUAUUUAAUUUCUUUUCCACUGACAAUCUCCGUUAAGUGCAUGUAAACAUAUAAUUCCUCUGUUUCAUCUUCUGGCUCCCAGCUUAUUACAACGGAGCACUACCAUUUGCUGGUGUAACUGCGGUGCUCAUGGUAAUAGCUCCCGGUUGGUAAUCGCCCUGAUUUAAAGAAUCAUCUGGAAUCAAUUAUUGCUGUCCCAGGGAACCAGAAACGAUCAUAAAUAUGACCGGGAAGCCCAUUGUUAAAGUUUACGAAAAUUCUUUAAGAGUCAUAUUGAUGUUCUGAAUUAUGGGAUGAUAUUAUCGAGAAAUCAGUCACAUACUGAUUAACUGAAAGAUAUUAAAUAUAUUUUUAAAUAUACCAACAUACUCAUUUACUAAUAUAUAUCUCCGUAAAUCAGGAAUCACGUCACAUAUCAGUGAACAACUGUCCAUCACAACAAGGGUCUAUGAUUGAACAUUAUCAAUUGUUUUCAUCAGUUUACAAAUGUACACUCUUUAUACAGAGUACUUAUUGGAUUGUUAGAGUAUCUUUUUCAGAUCAGUGAACACUAGCAAUUGAAAAAGAAACAAAGAGACAACCGAUACGUGAGCAAUUAUACAACAAAUCUCAGUUACUAUUUAAGUCUACUUUACCUAUAUAGGUACACUUUUAUGUUACAGCAAUUAGUUAAUGAGGAUUCUGCAUGUGUAAAUCAUAAGCAGGAAAUGAAGAAGAAAGAAGAAGGUAGUAGUGCAGUGAUAUGAUCUGAAUUUCUGCUGCUCCAACAUUUAGAAGAUGUUGAGCAGUAUGGAGUGACUAGGUCAGAAAGAGGAAAAAUUGGGUGUGUGACUAAAUGGAAUGUUCCACCACUGACUCCAGUCAAUGGUAGCAUGCUUUGACCUAACCUUAUAAUGCACCAAAACCAUUUAACACUCUCAUUCCAUCCAGGGUCUCUGCCGUUCAGUAGAAGCAGAACCACGUGAUUGGACAUUUCAGCAGAAGCCGAGGUGGAAAAUCAUACUACUUCUAUAUAUAUAUAUAUAUUUUUUUUUUGUAAAUAUUGUAGAGGAUAAAAUAAAAUUAUUUUGUUCUUAAACUAAAGUUUAUUAAUUGAUAAGCUAAUUUUGUUAAAAAAAUCAUAUCACUUUUCAAAAAUUUAAUUUGAAUAUAAUUAACUAAUUUUAGUUUUUUUUAAAGACUUUCAUUUACUCCAACCACAGUAGUCACCUUAGUAGAGUUUGUGACUAUUUCAAAGUCUUCGAAUUAUAUCUCUUUUGAAGAAUAUGAAGUCUAACCUUAAAAGUUGGAGAUAAUAUCUUCAAGGUAUUUUAAAAAUAUGAUAAGCAUUAAUUAUUUAUUAUCUCUAUAUGAAGAAGCGUAUAUAAAGAAUAUAUAAAAGGAACUUUUGAAGAAGAAAAAGACAAGCAAAUGGAGAAGAGCAACAUAAAGAAUGAUUGAGAGAAUAGAUAUUCGCCAUAGUCUGAGAUUAGAAAUCCUAAUAAGAUGUUAGAGAGACUCUUUGUAUUCCAUCCUUCUUGAAUGAGAUUAAGUAUUAUCCUCACAGAGUGAGAAAAACAAAUAUUACAAAUAUUGUAAUCAUACUUUAAUAGUGGAGUCAUUUUCUAUAUUAGGUUUCGUGGGUUUUAUUUCUCAAGUUGAGAAGGUUUUACCACGUUAAAAAUAAAAAUUCUCGGUGUCAUUAUCUAUUUUCAUUUAUCUUUUAUCUUAUAUCUUUCCACAAGUGUCCAUCUUGUAUCUACACUAAAAAGAAAGAAUUAGUUUUGAUUUUCUCAACAAUUCUCCAUUAUUGUUGUUUCAAAUGCUCAUCUCCGAUAUCAUGUCUUGUUUUAAUUCAUUAUUAUUAUAGUCUAUGAAACCAAGUUGAGUAUUAAGCUCCCUCCAAUAUCAAUCCCUAUUUGGAUGGUAAAAUAUCCUUGUUUUCGGUUGCAUAUACUUCAACAAAUAAAGUUGAAUUUGUACAUGAAACAUCAAGCAGAUAAAAGACAUUGAGAUCUUGAGUUUGAUGUUGGCGAUUUGUUCCUAGUAAAAUUAGAGCCUUACAGACAACAUUUUGUUGCCUUAAGGAGCAUCCAGAGCUCAGUAUCCGUUAUUUUGGUCCCUUUGAAGUGUUAGCUAGAAUUGGAGUGGUUGCUUCUAAGUUGAAGCUUCCUACCACUGACAGAAUUCAUCCACUGUUCCAUGUGUCUUGCCACUUACUACAAUGAGAUCUUAAGUUUGAUGUUGGUGAAGCCUUAUAGACAACAUUUUGUUGCCUUAAGGAACAUCUAGAGAGUUAGAGUUCAAUAAGAAGUGAAUUUUAAGUCUUGUUUUCAGUUGCAUAUACUUCAACAUUGAAUUUGUAUAAGGCUCAAGAGUACAUGAAACAUCAAGCUGAUAAAAGACAUUGUGAGAUCUUAAAUUUGAUGUUGGUGAGGCUAGAUGUAACGGAAAAGUAGUUGCCCCAAAAGAUCACAUGAAACGCGAUCAACAAGGAAAGGGGCAACAGAAAAGAAAAGCGUGAGAGGUAAGAGAGAGAAUGGACUUUUCAAGGACUAUGUGCUCUAAGAGGGAUUAUUGUGUGGUAUGAUUCUUCUACUUUCUCAUCUUUUCCUCUCUCUCUAUGGUUUCCAUUUCUUUUCUAUUUGAAAUAUUUGUUGUUACUGAACGAGGUACUAUGAUAUAAGCUUAAUCAACUUGAUCGUGGAUGUUGCUAUGAAAUUUUCUCUUCUUUAAUGCACUGAGACAUUAAUCCUUUAUGAUCAUAUCAUAUUUGUAAACAACCACGUUAUACAAUAUAUAGUGUAUUCUUCACAUUAUCAAAGCAUUUAAGGAAAAAGAAAAAUAAUAAUAACACUGGUUUUUCUCAAAUCCAUCAUGUGGCCCUCAAAAGCAUAGAUUCAAACAAGUGAGUGAAUGAGACAUUUAUACAAAUAUCUCUGCAUAAAGGUAGGAAGAGAGUAAAAGUUCUUGUGUGCGUAGCUUAUUCAUUUCAUUCACUCUUUUUUUCCAUCAUCGAACACACUUUAUCAAGUUAUUUUACCUAGCGAGAGGUAUGAGUUCGGUGCUGAAAUUCAGAUUGACCUGUUCAACUGACUCUGCACUACUGUUAGGUUUUGUUCGAGCUGCUUCGGUUGCUAAGGUCUCCUUUAGUUCAAACACUAUCACACUCAUAAUUGGUCUUUGGUUGGGACGUAGAGAAACACAAGCCAUUGCUAUUUCCACGGCUUUCCAGGCUGAGUUAAUGUCAAAAUCUCCUUCUAACCUUGAGUCAACAAUGGCCUUGAUAUCCCCUAUUGCAACCAGGGAUCUAACCCAUUCAAUUAUGUGACUCCUUUCUUCGUUCCUUGCUAUUACUUGCUGGCCUGUGAUUAUUUCCAGAAGAACCACUCCAAAGCUAUAAACAUCACUUUUCUCUGUUAAUCUAUUGUUUGUGUAAUAGCUGCAAUGAAAAAUGCAAGACAUAUCAUGAAACUCAAUAUAUUUUCUGCCAGUGUAUGGUGAUAUCUCAAAAUCUCAGAAAUUAAUGGAUGAACAGUAAUUCAAGUUCUUACUCAGGGUCCAGGUAACCAGGAGUUCCAGCGACAACAGUUGACAAAUGUGAUCCCCCAUCAUCUGGGAUAAUUUUGGAUAGACCAAAAUCAGAUAAUUUCGCUUGGAAGUGUUCAUUCAACAAGAUGUUUGAAGAUUUUACGUCUCGGUGUAUUAUAGGUGGCUUGCAACCAUUUUGCAGAUACUCCAAUCCUAUAUUAGAUUUAUGGAAAAUACAUUAACAAAACUGUCAAAAUGCAUAAUCUGAAGUUUGCUUUCUUACCCAAGGCUGCGUCCAAUGCUAUACGCAGUCUGUCUUCCCAGCUCAAGAAUUUUGAUUUACUGUGUGUACCUGCAAAGAACAAACUCAGUAACUUUCAUACAAUUUGUACAGUUGAGCAAUAUGAAAAUUUCCAUAUCCAGCAUUUUGGAAUACAAAACUAACUAGGAAAUUGAUUUGCACAAACUUUUAACAAGAACUUCAUUUUAUUUGGGAACUGACCAGAGAGAUGUUCCAGUAAGUUUCCAUUGGCCAUGUACUCAUAUAUGAGACUCUUAUUGUUUCCUUCAUCACAAUAACCAAUAAGGGAAGUCAGAUUUUUAUGAUGAACUCUCAGUAGAAGUGUAACCUGAAAAUCAAACCACUACCAUGUUUAGCCAUAUACACUUAUUAAUCAGCUCAAAAAAGUGCAAAGCGAUUAAAACUUACCUCUGCUUGAAAUUGUUCAUAACCACGGAAUGAUGAAGGGGAAAGAAUUUUGACAGCAACUGGAGUGUCAUAAAUAUAGCCCAGAUAAACUGUUCCAAAUCCUCCCCUACCAACAAUUGUAUUGAAAUUGUUGGUAAUUUUACAGAUGUCGGAGUGUGAACAUAUUUGUUUUUUAGACUGCUGUAAUGAACCCUCUUGUUUUGUGUGCUGCUCGGAUAUCUCACUUUGAUCCUUUUCUACCAUCGAAGCUGUUUGAUAUUGUACAAUAGUUUGGAAACUGACAGUUAAGAUUGAAUUUGUUUGGCAAAUUUUGAAAAAGUUAUGAAUGAUUUUAUCAUUGUAGCAUCACCUUUUGAUUUUCUCCUCCUAAGGAUCCACAAUAUAGCUGCCACGGCCACCAGAAGGAUCAAAACCCCGCAGAUUGAUGCUACCAAGGGUAUAACAAUGUUAUCUCUGUGCUCUAUGCAUUUGCCAUGUUCACAGAUAAAUGGAUUUUGACCCAAACUGCAUGGAAAUCACAGAAGAUUUAUGUUCAAAAGUUUAAGCAACCUUGUAAGUAGAGGGAAAAUUAAUCAUGUCAAGACUGGCUCUGAUAAAUCUGAGUUUGGUCACCCUUAAAAACAUAAUAUCUAAUUUUAAUCUAUGACUUCACCAAGUGUUUUUUUAAAGGUCGGAUUAGAUUCAUAUAAAAGUUUGGUUUGAUCAAUGAGCACAUUUAAAAGUUUAUUUCAUUUUUUUUAUCAGAAAAAAACGAAUGAAUAAACAAGAAAAAUUUCAGAAUACCUCAAUCCUUAGUUGAUACCCUCUAUCCUCCUUACAACAAUUGAAUAACCUAAAUGCAAACACUUUUUACUCAUCAUAAAUAUCUUUUAGAAAAGUUUAUUUCAUUUAGGACUUCCAAAAGAUUAUUGAGUUUAUUAAAUUAAAUACAAACGAAUAAUCUCUCUUUCAAACACGUAUCGUGGUUACUUUAAGCAACAUGUUAUGAAUUUGAGUAGUUUAAGUAAGAUUCAUAUACCUUAGGGUGAGAGAACCUUCCUUAGAUUUUUCAACAAGUGCCGAGGGAAUUGAACCGAAGAGGUUAUUCUUCUCCAAGUUUCUGCCAAAAAUACGAAUAAAUAAUCUUUUAGUCUUUUCUGGUACAGUGGAUAACAUAGUUUUAAGUAAUUGAGAACUUACAAGAUCCUCAAGUGUUGUAAUUGAGACAGAAAAUCAGGAAUCUCAUCGUUUAAGCUAUUAUUCGAUAAAUCCCUACAAAUUUAACAAACAAUUUAGCCUUUUUAAGUAUGUUUAAAUCUUGACUCAUGUGACAAAAGAUAUGUCGAUAUGUCGAUUCUUCGCACAUAAUAAGUACAUGCGAAAGAACAAAAAGAAUUAAAACAGGAAAUUUUUCUGGUCUCAUGUAUUUCUGGAUGGGAUGAAAUAAAAAAAAAACAAAAAAACUCACAGCUUCUCCAACAUGGUGAGCUUUGAGAUUGAAGGGUCUAUCUUUCCUGACAAUCCACUUGAAGAUAAAUUCCUGUCUUGCUCAAUGAAUAGUUAUAUUUAUAUACAAUAUUAUCUCAGUUUAUGAAGCAAUAAUAGAAAUUUGGCCAACAAAACUUACAGAGUUGUGAUUCUUGGGAACUCAUCGUCGCCAUAAGUACAGUUGAGACCAUCCCACAAGUAGUCUGUAGGGGCGCAUGGAUCACCUUGCCAAUCUCUUUUCACUCCAUAAACUGACUUGAUGCUUGUAAUCGCAUCAACUUUUUUUCAAUGCAAAAGAUGGGUUGAAGGUAGUUAAGGUCAUGUACAAUAGUGAAAACCAAAUAAUUGGAUUUAAAAAAUGAAAAAUACCAUCUCCUUGGAGUGUUUGAGGUUUCUGUAAGUCUAUUACUCUGUAAAUUUCAAGGGCACUGAUGAUGGGAGGCAGGGUUGAAUUUCCGGUCCUCACGAGGGAAUAUUUAAUUUCUUUUCCACUGACUGCUGAAGAGGUAUUUAAAGUGUCGACGACCAGGUAUCGUGGAGAAAAAUUUGGAAUCCAUAAUUCACCGUUCCUCAUGAUGUUGAAUUGUCUUGUCUGAUUGGUGGUUAACUCUUGAAUCUCUGUGAAGUGCAUGUAAAAAUAUAAUUCAUCAGUUUC
rnacentral:lncRNA from 1 species